rnacentral:rRNA from 1 species
UGAGUACGAGAUGCUACGGCAUCGAAGCAGUCUAUGUCAUACUUCCAAGAAAAGCUUGCAAUGUCAUAAACAAAUAAUGCCUGUACCAUAACCGACACAGGUGGUAGGUAGAGUAUACUAAGGGGCGCGAGAUAACUCUCUCUAAGGAACUCGGCAAAAUGACUCCGUAACUUCGGGAGAAGGAGUGCCUUAUUUUUAUAAGGUUGCAAUAACAAGAUCCAAGCAACUGUUUACCAAAAACACAGGUCUCCGCUAAGUCGUAAGACGAUGUAUGGGGGCUGACGCCUGCCCAGUGCCAGAAGGUUAAAGAAGUUGGUUAGCAUUAGCGAAGCUGAUAACUGAAGCCCUGGUGAACGGCGGCCGUAACUAUAACGGUCCUAAGGUAGCGAAAUUCCUUGUCGGGUAAGUUCCGGCCCGCACGAAAGGCGUAAUGAUUUGGAUACUGUCUCGGAGAGGGGCUCGGUGAAAUAGACUUGUCUGUGAAGAUGCGGACUACCUGCACCUGGACAGAAAGACCCUAUGAAGCUUUACUGUAACUUGAGAUUGAAAUUGGACUUUAUCUGCGCAGUAUAGGUGGGAGACGUUGAAAAUAUUCUUGCGGGAAUAUUGGAGUCAUCAGUGAGAUACCACUCUUAUAAUGUUAGAUUUCUAACUUUGUAUCAUUAUCUGGUCAAAGAACAGUUUCAGGCGGGCAGUUUGACUGGGGCGGUCGCCUCCCAAACGGUAACGGAGGCGCACAAAGGUUUCCUCUGAACGUGUAGAAAUCGUAUCUAGAGUGUAAAGGCAUAAGGAAGCUUGACUGUGAGACCUACAAGUCGAGCAGGGACGAAAGUCGGUCUUAGUGAUCUGACGGUGCUGAGUGGAAAGGCCGUCACUCAACGGAUAAAAGUUACUCUAAGGAUAACAGGCUGAUCUCCCCCAAGAGUUCACAUCGACGGGGAGGUUUGGCACCUCGAUGUCGGCUCAUCGCAUCCUGGGGCGGUAGUACGUCCCAAGGGUUGGGCUGUUCGCCCAUGAAAGCGGUACGCGAGCUGGGUUCAGAACGUCGUGAGACAGUUCGGUCCAUAUCCGGUGUAGGCGUUAGAAUAUUGAGAGGAGCCUUCUUUAGUACGAGAGGACCGAGAAGGACAUACCUCUGGUGUACCAGUUAUCGUGCCAACGGUAAACGCUGGGUAGCCAUGUAUGGAGAGGAUAACCGCUGAAAGCAUCUAAGUGGGAAGCCCACCUCAAGAUAAGUAUUCUCU